rnacentral:rRNA from 1 species
GACGAACGCUGGCGGCGCGCUUAACACAUGCAAGUCGAACGGAAAGGCCUGCUUUCCCUUGUGGAUUGCGGGUACUCGAGUGGCGAACGGGUGAGUAACACGUGAGUGAUCUGCCCCCAACUUGGGUAUAAGCCUGGGAAACUGGGUCUAAUUCCCGAUAGCACUGCAGGGUGGUGCCUGUGGUGGAAAACGAUUUUCUAGUGGUUGGGGAUGAGCUCGCGGCCUAUCAGCUUGUUGGUGGGGUAAUGGCCUACCAAGGCGGCGACGGGUAGCCGGCCUGAGAGGGUGGACGGGCACAUUGGGACUGAGAUACGGCCCAGAAGCCUACGGGAGGCAGCAGUGGGGAAUAUUGCACAAUGGGCGGAAGCCUGAUGCAGCGACGCCGCGUGGGGGAUGACGGCCUUCGGGUUGUAGACUCCUUUCGACCGCGAGGAAGCCACCUGGUUGGAAGGGUGGUGACGGUAGUGGUAGAAGAAGCACCGGCUAACUACGUG